rnacentral:rRNA from 1 species
GGGGGGGGGGGGGGGGGGGGGGGGGGGAGGGGGGGGGGGGGGGGGGGGGGUGGGGGGGUGGGGGUGGGGGGGGGGGGUGGCGGGCGGGGGGGGGAUGCGUCGGAGUGUACGGUUGGGUGGGGGAGAACGUAGGGUAAUUUAGGGUGAUACCGCGGCCGCCCUGCGGGUGAGAGCAGGGGGUGUUCGGACCUGGCGCGCUGGAAUGUGGCGAUGUCGGAUUAGCUCGGUGGCGGGUGAAAGGGCCACCAAGGCGACGCGCCGUAGCUGGUCUGAGAGGAUGAUCAGCCACACUGGAACUGAGACACGGUCCAGACUCCUACGGGAGGCAGCAGUGGGGAAUAUUGGACAAUGGGCGCAAGCCUGAUCCAGCCAUACCGCGUGGGUGAAGAAGGCCUUCGGGUUGUAAAGCCCUUUUGUUGGGAAAGAAAAGCAGCAGGUUAAUACCCCGCUGUUCUGACGGUACCCAAAGAAUAAGCACCGGCUAACUUCGUG